UGACAUGGGACUAACAGACUAA
rnacentral:miRNA from 1 species